rnacentral:rRNA from 1 species
CAGGGAAUCUUGCGCAAUGGACGGAAGUCUGACGCAGCGACGCCGCGUGGGUGAAGACGGCCUUCGGGUUGUAAAGCCCUUUUCUGGAGGAAGAGGGAGGACGGUACUCCAGGAAUAAGUGUCGGCUAACUACGUGCCAGCAGCCGCGGUAAUACGUAGGACACGAGCGUUAUCCGGAUUUACUGGGCGUAAAGCGCCUGUAGGCGGUUCUUCAAGUCGUUUGUGAAAGCCCUGGGCUCAACCUGGGGAGGCCAAGCGAUACUGGAGGACUUGAGGGUGACAGAGGGGAGUGGAAUUUCCGGUGUAGCGGUAAAAUGCGCAGAUAUCGGGAGGAACACCAGUGGCGAAGGCGGCUCCCUGGGUCACACCAGACGCUGAGAGGCGAAAGCUAGGGGAGCGA